GAUGAACGCUGGCGGCGUGCCUAAUACAUGCAAGUCGAGCGAACGGACGAGAAGCUUGCUUCUCUGAUGUUAGCGGCGGACGGGUGAGUAACACGUGGAUAACCUACCUAUAAGACUGGGAUAACUUCGGGAAACCGGAGCUAAUACCGGAUAAUAUUUUGAACCGCAUGGUUCAAAAGUAAAAGACGGUCUUGCUGUCACUUAUAGAUGGAUCCGCGCUGCAUUAGCUAGUUGGUAAGGUAACGGCUUAUCAAGGCAACGAUGCAUAGCCGACCUGAGAGAGUGAUCGGCCACACUGGAACUGAGACGCGGUCCAGACUCCUACGGGAGGCAGCAGUAGGGAAUCUUCCGCAAUGGGCGAAAGCAUGACGGAGCAACGCCGCGUGAGUGAUGAAGGCCUUCGGAUCGUAAAACUCUGUUAUUAGGGAAGAACAUAUGUGUAAGUAACUGUGCACAUCUUGACGGUACCUAAUCAGAAAGCCACGGCUAACUACGUG
rnacentral:rRNA from 1 species